ensembl:lncRNA
GCUGCCAAGCGUGGAUGCCGCUCUAGGUUAUAGGUGGAGAAUGAGAAAGGUGAAGAUUGAAAGCAUUGCUCUGGAAGUAACAGUCCUAGAUCCUCUUCUAUACAGCACAGCCUUAUGUUAAGUAUUUCAAUCUUAAUUUUUUUUUAUUCACAGAAGGAACAGUGUUUAUAUAAUUUCCAAUCAUGUCUGGCACAUUAUAGUUGUAAUGUAUUUUCCUCAUUACAUCCCAUGUUAAUUAGAAAUGCAAAACUGUAUGUCCCAAUAUGCUUGUGUGUAGCUGUGAAUGUAAAAUAUGAAAAUCCCAAGCAGCCAGCCCAUAUGUAUUGAUGUGUAUGAUCAACUAUUUUCUGUUAUAACAACCCUAUACACUAAAACAAGUGACAUGUUAGACAACUGCAACCUCUAAAAUGUUAUGAUCUUGUGGCUAGCAAGUAGCAACUAAUGUUGUUCAGAAAGAUUUGUUUUCAAUUCUGAGCCAGAAAAUAUUUAGCAUUGUUCAACAUAUAGAAAGCCAGCCAAUAACUUUAGUUUGCUAGCUAUGAACUCAAAAAUGUUUUAGUUAUAAAUAAACUAGUUCGCUAGCUAAUAAUAGGCUGAACAUUUCCUUACCCCAUUGAAGUUAUUCAUUUUCCUUCUUGCAUGUCCUUUGUACUACCCAUGUUCACUUCUGGCAAGUUUCCUCCCUGCCCCCUAAUUUUGGCAAUGCAUGAUGUACCCUAAACAUUAAUAGAUCAUGGUCUGGCCCAAAAAGCUCACAAUACAUCAUGUAUGACCAACAAAACCAAUCAAAAUAUUUGCUCAGAUUCUGAGCAAAUAUUGCAUUUUACAUGGCCUCCUGUAAACGUCAGUCAUGCUACGAGUCUCUAGCCUUUAAUUGGGGAAUUAUCUGCACUGCCAAACUGCUUCUCCUCCGUUAGCGAUGUGCUGCGCAUGGUGGAUUGACACACUUGGUUUACACUAUCCUCAUUCACAUUAGAGGCAUCAGUGAAGGAGGGGUGAAUGUCAUAGCAAAAGGCUAGCAUGAAAUUAACCAUAUCCAAGUAAAAUGGGUACAAAGAACCACGUUCUUGGCUAGAUAUGGCCAGCUAGCAUGCUAGCACACAGAAGCUUUAUUUCAUGCAAAGUGCUAGGUACUAUGUCAACUAAUGUGCAAUGAUUAUAAGUGGUUUUAUACCUUUAAUUGUGACUCGUUUCAGGAAACUAGGCAUAUGUCGCGGGUACCUAUUUCACAGGAGAGUCAUUUGAAUGCAUUUUUUUAAUCCAAAAUGCUUUUUUUUGGCAGAAAUGCCUUCUCAAACAUGUGAACUUUCAUGUGCCUUAUUAACGGACUUUGAAUAAAAUUGUUAAAUUACGAGUCCAGUUGGUUUAGCCAUAGAAAAAGUCCGCAACCUUCCCACUAGCGUUGAUUGGCUGAGAUGAUGAGUGGGCUGGACAUGCCAAGAGAUGAUGUCACGACUUCCACCGGAGGUGGCUCCUCUUCCUGUUCGGGCGACGCUCGGCGGUCGUCGUCACCGGUAUACUAGCUGCCACCGAUCCUUUUUCCAUUUUUUUUGGUUAUGUCUGUUUUGUGUUUCACCAGGUUUCAUUUUGGUUAAUUAGGGGGGAUAUUUAUCUUGACAUUUCCUUUGGAUUUUGUGCGGGAUUGUUUUCAUUUGACUGUCAGUUUGGGUUGCGUUUUCGUUUGUUCAUGUUUAACAGGUGGUUUUUCCCUGGACUGUGUCUGAGUGGGGUUUUGAGGCUACUGUUGUAGUCCGGUGUCCAUUCCUCCAUGCAGAUCUCCUCUAGAGCAUUGAUGUUUUGGGGCUGUUGCUGGGCAACACAGACUUUCAAUUCCCUCCAAAGAUUUUCUAUGGGGUUGAGAUCUGGAGACUGGCUAGGUCACUCCAGGACCUUGAAAUGCUUCUUACGAAGCCACUCCUUCGUUGCCCGGGCGGUGUGUUUGGGAUCAUUGUCAUGCUGAAAGACCCAGCCACGUUUCAUCUUCAAUGCCCUUGCUGAUGGAAGGAGGUUUUCACUCAAAAUCUCACGAUACAUGGCCCCAUUCAAUCUUUCCUUUACACGGAUCAGUCGUCCUGGUCCCUUUGCAGAAAAACAGCCCAAAAGCAUGAUGUUUCCACCCCCAUGCUUCACUGUAGGUAUGGUGUUCUUUGGAUGCAACUCAGCAUUCUUUGUCCUCCAAACACGACGAGUUGAGUUUUUACCAAAAAGUUAUAUUUUGGUUUCAUCUGACCAUAUGACAUUCUCCCAAUCUUCUUCUGGAUCAUCCAAAUGCUCUCUAGCAAACUUCAGACGGACCUGGACAUGUACUGGCUUAAGCAGGGGGACACGUCUGGCACUGCAGGAUUUGAGUCCCUGGCGGCGUAGUGUGUUACUGAUGGUAGGCUUUGUUACUUUGGUCCCAGCUCUCUGCAGGUCAUUCACUAGGUCCUCCCGUGUGGUUCUGGGAUUUUUGCUCACCGUUGUGAUCAUUUUGACCCCACAGGGUGAGAUCUUGCGUGGAGCCCCAGAUCGAGGGAGAAUAUCGGUGGUCCCACAGUUGAUUUCUUCAAACCAAGCUGCUUACCUAUUGCAGAUUCAGUCUUCCCAGCCUAGUGCAGGGCUACAAUUUUGUUUCUGGUGUCCUUUGACAGCUCUUUGGUCUUGGCCAUAGUCGAGUUUGGAGUGUGACUGUUUGAGGUUGUGGACAGGUGUCUUUUAUACUGAUAACAAGUUCAAACAGGUGUCAUUAAUACAGGUAACGAGUGGAGGACAGAGGAGUCUCUUAAAGAAGAAGUUACAGGUCUGUGAGAGCCAGAAAUCUUGCUUGUUUGUAGGUGACCAAAUGCUUG